AAGAGGAUGGAGCUAGUAUGUAUUGAGCACCUACUGUCUGCCAGGCACCACGCGGGGUACCUUACAUAUGAGAUCUCACUUCACCUCAACAAUGAUUCUGUGACUGUGGAAUUGUUUCCAUGUAACAGACGUGGGACUGAAGCUCAGGAAUAUUAAGUCAGUCGUUUUGAUUCAGUCACACUCUAGAACCCACUCUCUUUGGUAUUCUGUAGUUUGCAAAGAUAACACAAAACUUCUUGCUCUAAAAUACUGGGCUUUAGAAAAGAAGAGAGCCCCAGGGAGCCCUGGUGGCCUGAGAGGCAGGGAAGAGUCAGUGAGUGGAGGAAGAGCGUGAGUGAAUUUUUCCGAGGGCAUGAGAGGCAGUUGUGUGUCCCUGGGGUUGUCUUGCAUGGGACCCCCAAUGCCUGCAUGAAGACAGGGAGAUGGCAUUAGAAGACUUGGCUUCCCUCAAAUCGGAGCAGCUGCUCCAGCUCGCCAUAGAAGUGGGCAAGAAGGAGAGAACACGAAGGAGGAAAGAGACACGGGUUCUCAUUAGACAAGUGGGUCAGAUUCUUCCUCUUUUUUGGUCUGCACCAAUGUCUUUCCUUGCAGUCUUCAUUAACCUGUGACUCUGACGACCCUGUGGGUGACACUUAUUUUUGUGCUUAGGAAAUAUCUGUGGUGGUCAGCAGGGUGAGCCCCCAUUCACAGCAAGGAAAAAUGGAGUCAUGUUCUUCUGCUCUGGGAUUUUCGUCAGUAACAGUGGAACAGCCCAUACGAACCUACUUAACAGAUUUUUUCUCCCUUAAUAAAAAGAUGAUUCUAUUUUCUAGAGAUGCUCCUCUAGAAUUGCUCCCAGUAAACUUAAAAAAAAAAGUAGUGAAAAAUUUAUUGGGUCACAUUUACUGUCUGGUUCUUACUGGGUGGUGGUUGGCCUCAGGAACCAGGCUCCUUCGUGAGUAACCAAACUGAGAAUCAACCCAUUCUUUGGGUGUGUAAAAUAAGCCCAUUUAGUUGAAUCUCAUGAAUUUUCAUCAUGAACUAGUAAAACCAGAGGUCACUAGGAAACCAAAAUAAUCAUACAGUAUCCUUCCUCAUGGUCCAUAUCAAAAAGCCUAGUCAAGUGAAUGAUGAAGAGAGAAAUUAUACUUUCUAAUCCCCAGUGCUUUUACUCAGCCAUGAAUGGUAUUAAUUCAGGGAGCUUGUAAAAAGCAUUUUCACGAGAGAGAUUGGAAGCAAGACUAAGUAGGUGCAUGCUGGCAGCAUAAAGAGAGUCUAAUCUAAUUAUUGUGGAAUCUUAGAGAUAAUCUAAGGGCUGCCUAGUUGCAUACAACACAUUUUAUUGACUCUUUUCCAUGUGUAAGGCACACGGACUGUGUGUAAGGUACAUGCCUAUUUUCUAUGGGCAAAAACCAGAGUCACCCAGAGGGCUCGUUAAAACACAAAUGGCGGAGUCCCAUCCCCAGAGUUUCUGACUCCGAGUUUCUGGGGUGGGCCUGAGAAUUGGCAUUUCUAGCAAGUUCCCAGGAGCUGCUGAUGCUGCUGGUUCAAGAUCACACUGUGAGAACUGCUCUACACCCUCGUGGGGGGGAUUAUUCCAGGGUUCACUUGAGCCCUUCUAAUGCGAUGGGUUGUGAAAGCGGCCGAUCCCAACAGAACAGCUUUCUUAGGGUUCACCGACACUGCGCUGAAAAGUGCCUCCCGGAAGCUCUCUCCCUGGUCCUAAUUCUGCCGGCUGGAAUUGCUCUGGACACACCUAAUCCUCAUUUAAUAAAUGCUCAUGCGCAUUCAUCCUAAGGAGAAGGACAGAGAGGGGUCUGUUUGGCAAAUAACGUUGUUAUGUUCCAUGCUGGGGAAUGCCUGUUUAAUCUACUUUGCUAACAAUAAAUUUAAAUGUUAGUAACUGGGGUGUACAUACACCAUAAAGGGUACAAAUGUCAUGUGUACAGCUUGAUAAAAUUUUACAUAGAUAUACACUCAUACAACUGCCUUCCACCUCAAGACAUGGAAUAUUUUCACCCUUCCUCAAAAUUACCAUGUGCUCUUUCCUGGUCCGUAGCAGGCCCUCAAAAGUCAGCACUGUUCUACUCCAGUUGCCAUGGAUAUUUCAUGCUCCUCUUGAACUUUAUGUAGAUGGAAGCAGAGAGAACAUGCCCUUUUGUAUCUGAUAUUUUCACUCAAGAAGACUGUGAGGUUCAACCAUGUUCUAAAUAGCAAUAUUAGUUCUUUUGUUUUUAUUGCCUUGUGGUAUCCCAAGUUUGACUUGUGUUUAUAGUUGUAUAUUUAAUUGCUCCUUCUAUUUUUUUUUGCGGGGGUAGGGGGUGGUGGGAUGGAAUUUUGCUCUUGUUGCCCAGGCUGGAGUGCAAUGGCGCGAUCUCAGCUCACUGCAACCUCCGCCUCUCUGGUUCAAGUGAUAUUCUCCUGCCUCAGCCUCCUGAGUAGCUGGGAUUACAGCCACCACACCCACCUAAUUUUUUGUAUUUUUAGUAGAGACGAGGUUUCUCUUUGUUGGCCAGGCUGAUCUCAAACUCCUGACCUCAGGUGAUCCACCCGCCUCAGGUGAUCCACCCGCCUCAGCCUCCCAAAGUGCUGGCAUUAUAGGCGUGAGCCACCAGGCCUGGCCCCUCCUUCUAUUUUAUAUAGUUAAGGUUGGAAAUUGAUAUGGUUUGGCUCUGUGUCCCCACCAAAAUAGCAUUUCGAAUUGUAAUCCCCAUGUAUCAGAGGAGUAGCCUGGUGGGAGGUAAUUGGACCAUGGAGGUGAAUUUCCCCCUUGCUGUUCUCGUGAUAGUGAGUGAGUUCUCAACGAGAUCUCAUGGUUUAAAAGUCUGGCGCUUCCGGGUUGUCUCUCCCUUCUGCCACCAUAUAGACGUGCUCGCUUCACGUUUGCCUUCUGCGGUGAUUUUAAGUUUCCCGAGGCUUCCCCAGCCAUGCAGAACUGUGAGUCAAUUAAACCUCUUUUCUGUAUAAACUACCCAGUCUCAGGUACUUCUUUAUAGCAGUGUGAAAAUGGACUAACACAGUAAUGAUGUAAGCUAGCAUGACUGCUGACUGUGAACUGGAAUGGUGCUAAGUACAUGACAUCACUUGAUCUUUUCAAUACAGUGAGAUUGGUACUGUCAUUAAUCCAUUUUACAGAUGAGAUAACCAAGGCUGAGUAACUUGCUCAAAGUCUCACAGCUGAUAAGAAGUGAAACCAAUAUUUGAAUGCCGGUGUCUGACCAUGAUCCUGCGUUCUUAGCUGAUAUAUUAUGAUGCCUGUCACUCUGGGUGCUUUAACAAUGACCACCAAUGAGAGAUUGACCCUGGACAGCAUGCAGUUUCCUUUGAUUUCAAGGACUUUUCCUUUUUCAGCACCCAUUUCUUUCUCCUGUCUAAUGGGUCUAAGGCAUCUUCAACCAUGCUGGUAGUGACCUGGGCUGUGCCACCUGUCCAUGCACUGUCUGGAUUUUCCCAACUCCUUCAGAUGAGCAGAUCUGUGGACUCAUGUUCUCUCUUAUGUAACUGUCUCCCUACAAAAAUAACCUUUUCUCUUUGCUGGCUCUCUGAUCACUUCCAAAAUCCCUGUCCUUGAUAAUUGCAAAUAAUAGAAGAAUCUGUUCUACCUUGUGGUUCCUGUUAAGGUUACACCUAAAUUGUCUCUGAAAAAUAAUUGUCUGUUUUGUUAAAGGAAAUGUUUAAACUUCCUUUGACUUGUGUGUCUAAUAAACCCUCAGCAGAAGGAAGUUUAUUUUUAAAUACAAAUUACUGUGGCCACUUAACAUCUCAUUUCCUUUUUCAUUCUGCUAAUUGGAGAUGGGAAAUGGCUGGUCAGCCUAUUUCAUGCUAUCAACUUGAGUGCAUUUAAAAAGAUAAUCAGAGGCUUUGCAGCAGUUUUAAGUCUGGCUUUGAUUCAAUAUCUGGAUAAAAAGCCUCCACAUGCCCUUAUGAUUAAGAAUUUUCGUUUAUGUUUUCAUGUUCUCCAGGGUGCAUGCAGACCUCAUCCCCUGGGCUUUUAUUGCUAAGUACAUAGAUAUGGUGUUGUUUGGGUUUAUAAACGUGAGUAGUUUGCUAAAUAAUUCUCUGUGUUCUAACAGGAAAUGAAGGUCAGGAGUGAAAGAUGGGAUGCUCUUUGCUUAAUCUGUCAUCACACUAGGUUUUCAUAAAUUACAUAAUAUCCAUUUAUCUAUUUAUCUUUCUGUAAUUCUAAUUUAUAUCCUAAAUUUCAUAUUAAAAAGCUUUGAGAAUUUUUUUUUUUUUUGAGCCAUAAGCCGGGCAUGGUGGCUCACGCCUGUACUCCUAGAACUUUGGGAGUCCGAGGCAGGAGGAUGGCUUGAGCCUAGGAGUUCAAGACCAGUCUGAGCAACAUAGCAAGAUGCUGUGUCUACAAAAAGCAACAACAAAAAAUUAUCCAGGUAUGCUGGUGUGUGCCUGUAGUCCCAGCUACUUGGGAGGCUGAGGUGAGAGAAUCACUUGAGUCUAAAAGUGAGCUGUGAUUGCACCAUUGCACUCUGGGUGACAGAUUGAGAUGCUGUCUCAAAAAAAAAAAAAAAAUACAGAAAAAGAGAAAUCCCAUAGGACAAAUGACCAGCGAUUUAUCAUAUAUAUGUAGCAUCACACAAGAGGUGAAGGCAGACACUGGAGAUUAAAAGAAGCAAGAAAUAAAAAUGGAAUGUGAUUGGGGACUCUUCUAAUCUUGAUUCAAGCAAAUCAACCAUACCAAGACCCUUUCUUUAGAGAAUCAGAUAAAUUUAAAUACAAACUGAGAAUUAGAUAACGAUAGGGCAUUGAGCAUUAAUUUUGUUACUUGUGAUAAUGGUUUUGUGGUUAUGUUAGUAAAAGAGUUCUUACAGGUAAAGACAUACUGGAGUAUUUGUGGAUGAAAUAUGGUGUCUGGAAUUUGUUUUAAAAUACUCUAGGAAAAAAUGGGGAAUAGAUAAAAACAUACAAAAGAUUGGUAACAUGCUGAUGAUUGUUAAAGUUGGGUAAUAGGUACAGGGGUUCAUUUUACUAUUCUCUCUACUUUUGUGUGUUUUAAAAAUGUUCAUAAGAAAAGGUUCAAAAAGAGGCAUAAGAGGGAAAUAUAUGAUGACAUAACUCUCGCAUUGUGAUAUAUGAGUACAGUCUUAGAAGUUCCUGUGAAAUACAAGCCUGUAAUAAAAUGAAAUCUAAAACUCUGUGUCUGCCAAACGGUUUUUAUUUCUUUUUGGAAAAAUAUAUAUUAAGUUAUUAAUUAUGUUUCUAUCUUGUUUGCAGAUGAUUCUGGGCCUCCCCCAUCUACUGUCAUCAAUCAAAAUGAAACAUUUGCCAACAUCAUUUUUAAACCUACUGUAGUACAACAAGCCAGGAUUGCCCAGAAUGGAAUUUUGGGAGACUUUAUCAUUAGAUAUGAUGUCAAUAGAGAACAGAGCAUUGGGGACAUCCAGGUUCUAAAUGGCUAUUUUGUGCACUACUUUGCUCCUAAAGACCUUCCUCCUUUACCCAAGAAUGUGGUAUUCGUGCUUGACAGCAGUGCUUCUAUGGUGGGAACCAAACUCCGGCAGACCAAGGAUGCCCUCUUCACGAUUCUCCAUGACCUCCGACCCCAGGACCAUUUCAGUAUCAUUGGGUUUUCCAACCGGAUCAAAGUAUGGAAGGACCACUUGAUAUCAGUCACUCCAGACAGCAUCAGGGAUGGCAAAGUGUACAUUCACCAUAUGUCGCCCACUGGAGGCACAGACAUCAACGGGGCCUUGCAGAGGGCCAUCAGGCUCCUCAACAAGUACGUGGCCCACAGUGGCAUUGGAGACCGGAGCGUGUCCCUCAUUGUCUUCCUGACGGAUGGGAAGCCCACGGUCGGGGAGACGCACACCCUCAAGAUCCUCAACAACACCCGAGAGGCCGCCCGAGGCCAAGUCUGCAUCUUCACCAUUGGCAUCGGCAACGACGUGGACUUCAGGCUGCUGGAGAAACUGUCGCUGGAGAACUGCGGCCUCACACGGCGCGUGCACGAGGAGGAGGACGCAGGCUCGCAGCUCAUCGGGUUCUACGAUGAAAUCAGAACCCCGCUCCUCUCUGACAUCCGCAUCGAUUAUCCCCCCAGCUCAGUGGUGCAGGCCACCAAGACCCUGUUCCCCAACUACUUCAACGGCUCGGAGAUCAUCAUCGCGGGGAAGCUGGUGGACAGGAAGCUGGAUCACCUGCAUGUGGAGGUCACCGCCAGCAACAGUAAGAAAUUCGUCAUCCUGAAGACGGAUGUGCCUGUGGGGCCUCAGAAGGCAGGGAAAGAUGUCACAGGAAGCCCCAGGCCUGGAGGCGAUGGAGAGAGGGACCCCAACCACAUCGAGCGUCUCUGGAGCUACCUCACCACAAAGGAGCUACUGAGCUCCUGGCUGCAAAGUGACGAUGAGCCGGAGAAGGAGCGGCUGCGGCAGCGGGCCCAGGCCCUGGCCGUGAGCUACCGCUUCCUCACUCCCUUCACCUCCAUGAAGCUGAGGGGGCCAGUCCCGCGCACAGACGGCCUGGAGGAGGCCCACGGCAUGUCGGCUGCCAUGGGACCCGAACCGGUGGUACAGAGUGUGCGAGGAGCUGGCACGCAGCCAGGACCUUUGCUCAAGAAGCCAUACCAGCCAAGAAUUAAAAUCUCUAAAACAUCAGGUAAAGGAAAGGAUGCGGUUGUGUGUGGAUUGAGAGUAUAAGAGAUGUUUAAAAAGUGUAAAACCAGGCCAGGUGUGGUGGCUCACGCCUGUAAUCCCAGCACUUUGGGAGGCCGAGGUGGGUGUAUUGCUUGAGGUCAGGAGUUCAAGACCAGCCUGGCCAACGUGGUGAAACCUCGUCUCUACUAAAAAUACAAAAGUUAGGCACGCAUGGUGGCGGGGGCCUGUAGUCCCAGCUACUGGGGAGGCCGAGACAGGAGAAUCGCUUGAACCUGGGAAGUUGAGGUUACAGUGAGCCAAGAUUGCGCCAUCGCACUCCAGCCUGGACUAUAAGAGUGAAAUUGCCUCAAAAAAAAAAAAAAAAAAA
rnacentral:sRNA from 1 species